UACGAAGGGGGCUAGCGUUGCUCGGAAUCACUGGGCGUAAAGCGCACGUAGGCGGAUUGUUAAGUCAGGGGUGAAAUCCUGGAGCUCAACUCCAGAACUGCCUUUGAUACUGGGGAUCUCGAGUCCGGAAGAGGUGAGUGGAACUCCGAGUGUAGAGGUGAAAUUCGCAGAUAUCAGGAAGAACACCCGUGGCGAAGGCGGCUCUCUGGGACGGUACUGACGCUGAGACGCGAAAACGUGGGGAGCGAACAGG
rnacentral:rRNA from 1 species